rnacentral:rRNA from 1 species
UACGUAGGGUCCGAGCGUUGUCCGGAAUUAUUGGGCGUAAAGGGCUCGUAGGCGGUUCGUCACGUCGGGAGUGAAAACUCGGGGCUUAACCCCGAGCCUGCUUCCGAUACGGGCAGACUAGAGGUAGGCAGGGGAGAGCGGAACUCUGGUGUAGCGGUGGAAUGCGCAGAUAUCAGGAAGAACACCGGUGGCGAAGGCGGCUCCUCUGGGCCUACCUGACGCUGAGGAGCGAAAGCGUGGGGAGCGAACAGG